rnacentral:rRNA from 1 species
UACGGGGGGGGGCAAGCGUUGUUCGGAAUUACUGGGCGUAAAGGGCGUGUAGGCGGCCAACUAAGUCCGACGUGAAAUCCCCAGGCUUAACCUGGGAACUGCGUCGGAUACUGGAUGGCUUGAAUUCGGGAGAGGGAUGCAGAAUUCCAGGUGUAGCGGUGAAAUGCGUAGAUAUCUGGAGGAAUACCGGUGGCGAAGGCGGCAUCCUGGACCGACAUUGACGCUGAAGCGCGAAAAGCUAGGGGGAGCAAACGGG